ensembl:lncRNA
GGCAAAGAUGGUUAAGAGGGCAGUGAUAUAUGUCUGAUAUCCUUCCACCCUACUCCUUUUUCUUUGACUUCAUAUUCACUCACAAAAUCUCAAUAGGUUUUGGACACAAGUUCAAAUAUGAGUACAAAUUCCUUUCAGGUGUUUUCAUGGAAUGGAAGGAUUUGAGAAAAGGAAAGUGCAUGGCGAACAGAGCAAAUUGGCAAAAACCAGAAAGAAACAAAAAGGAGCAGAUAAGGAACAACAGCCACAUUUUAAGUGAGGAAGAAAAGGAUAAACUCCUUAAGCAAGCUCUGCUUGAAAAGCAUCAUCUUGAAACCUACAAGAAUCUUUAUAAGAUAAGAAAUAUCUUAUAUGAACGCUACAAGACUUUAUUGAAUGAGAAAGUGCUAAAGCAACGAAUUCAGAUCAAGGCAUUUGAUCUGAAAGAUCAACAACUUAAGCACAAAGAACAAAAGUACACCCUUCGUCGUAAACUUCCUUUCUGCAAGCUGUCGCAUGAUACGAAGUACUUGGAGUCCGUGUCACAGUCAAACAGCUACUGGGUUACUGGAUUGCACAAUGAACUAACUAAACUUGGAAUCAUAAAGAACCAGCAAGAUUAUGAAAACUUUUGGAAAUUUGCUUGGGAGGAUAUUCCUGGCCCAAAGAUCAAGGAGAAGCUUCCUGAUAUAAAAGCAAGAAUGUCCACUGCUAAAUCUUUACGUUUCUCUACUGCAACUGAAAUCAAGCCACUCCAGCAAGUUAAAAGCUUUCCAAAGAGCAGAUUGAAAAAAGAAGCCAGUCAUGAUAAUACAAAUCUUGAGGAGCACUGUACUAAGCAGACUGCAGCUCUUUUAUUGCAGUCUGUGGAUAUUAGCUGCCCAUCAACUCCUACAAAAAUGAAGAUGAAAAGCCAACAGCAAAUGGAACAAAUGUUUUCCAAGUUCCUGCUUUCUGAUGUGGGGAAAAAGCAAGGGGAACCAUUGAAAUCUCAGCAGGUGGCGCAUUCUUCAGCUCCUCUUCACCAGAAGGAAUCAGAUAAAAGAAGGAAGCAUGAAAUGUAUCUUCAUUGUCUGAAUCAUUUGUAUUAUUUUUCCCUUAUUAAAAUGGCACUGUCCAAGAGGCUCCUAAAGCAAAGUGGUCAGUUUUCAGAUAUCAGGAAAGGGCAAAGUGUCCAUGAUCUGAUGGAGUAUUUGUUUCCAAAUGGUCAUGAACAGUCCAGACUGAAAUGCAAUAAGAUGCUAACAGAAGAAAACACAGUUCCAUGUUUAAUUCAUGCAAAGCAGCAAGAAAUGCAUCAGAAAGACUUUCCCAAAAUGCUCAGUAUUCCAAAAGAAAAGAAAAAGUUGUUGAAGCAAGAGAAACAUACUUUUAUUUUGCCCAACAGGGUUGAAGAUGAGAAAUCUGCUGUUGAUGAGAAGGCCAUUAUUGCUAUGCCUUUAUGUUUGGAAGAUGUAGCAUUUUACCAUCCAGUAAUAGAACCCAAGCAAGUAGGCAAAUAUUGGACAAACUACACUGGCAAAAAUUCCUUCAACCAUGAAAUAUAUUAACUAAAUAUUUGGUUCUGUGAAAAUAUGCUAUGAAUACGUUGAUCAACAUUAUUUAUGACUGUAUGCAUACUGUAUCCUUCUCAUGCCACUCAUUCAUUGUAAUUCUCUAAGUAUUACUUUUUGAUACACAUUUGUUCUUAGUAAUUGUGAACAGUUAUACAUUUUUAAUUAAUCUGUUCUCCUGAGCAGGGCAACAAAAGAAGACCCAGCCAAUCAUCUGGGACUCGGGAGGCAGAAAAUAGAUGGGGGCGGGGCCAGUCAGAGGUGGUAUUUACCGGUUCUCCGAACUACUCAAAAUUUCCACUACCAGUUCUCCAGAAUCUAUCAGAACUGGCUGGAUACCACCUCUGCCAUGUGGUCUUUUUCACAGAAAUGGAUAGCUUUUGAACAGAGAGUUGUUAGUGUUCAGCAAACUGAUCAAAAGUAUCAUCCAAAUUAUCUGCUCUUGUUCUCAGAUCUGCUGAAUAGCUAUAGCAUGUGGGAUGUUGCUCUUUGCUCCUAUCCCUGUCCCUGGAUUUUUGAAAGCUGAUUUGAGCUGAAAAGGACUACAAACUCUCCACUUUUCCUUUCUAUGAUUCAUAAACAUAGGAGGAGGGGUUUGGUUCAUGGAUUAGACUCCUCCUGCACAUAUCCUUCCUGCAACUAAUUGUCUCUCCCUGCCUGGCUACUGUUUCAAGAUUAUAAAUUAACUUUAGUCCAGCUUCCCAGAGAAGUACAAAAUUCUGAAGUUGGCAUAUACUAGUCUUAGUGUGAUGCCAUGCAUACCAUAAUUUCCAUCACAUACAGAUCAUCUAGCCAUGGCAAUAUUGGAGUUUGUAUUGCAAUGUAUUAGAACUUGAAUUAAUAUGUACAUUCCAUGUUAUUAUCUAAAUUCCUCUUGCCACCACACUUUGUCUGUAAACUAUAGAUAAAUAGAUCAACUCCCAGCUACAAAGAAGCCAGCUAAACUUUCUUGAUUAGUCGAUGGGAAUGAAGUCUGAUGACUGUGGUGAAAGAAAUAUCUACUCCCUGGGAAUUCCUCCCCCCCCCCCCCCCCCCCNNNNNNNNCCCCCCCCCCCCCCCGUACAUUCUUCUGUUGUUCCUGCAUUAUAAAGAACACAAUAAAGAGAAAUUAUUUUUUCAUAUUAACAAAAUUAAUCAAUUUAAAAUUAUGUAAUGAAUUCAUUUGGCUAAGAGACUUCAUUCCCUCAUGCCUGCAAUUCAGCCUAGAAAAGUAUUACAUAUUUGUUAAAUUAUAUAUUAAAAAAAUUAGAAAGUAUUAGAGAUUACAUAUUUUAAUUUAAGAGUCUUAACUGCUGCUAUUGGGACUGUGUUCCAUCAUUUAUUAACUAUAAUGUAUUCUCCUACUCUUCACCUACUAUCAUCCCUUUGUUGCUAAUGUUCAGCUGUGUAUUCUAUUUAAAUGUUUUUCCCCCUUUUGGGUCACUUAAUGCUACUCCAAUUUUCCCAUAAAGGUAAAAUAUUGUUUUAUAUCACUAAAUGGUUAUAUUUGAGUAUAGUUAUGUGUAUUAUUCCUUACACUUCUUGGCCAAAUUAAAAUCCAGCUAAAAUUUGUAGACAGCAAGCUGUUCUUGUUCAAACUGAAUUACUGUCUUUCCAGCUAUAACUAAUUGCUGCUGUUGGAAGGCAGUAACAUGGAGUUGGUUUUUGUUUUUAUUUUUGUUGCUGGAUUAUGUAACAAUUUCAUUUUCAUAUUGAGUCUUGAAUAUCUUUCCCAAGAUGGUCAGAUAUAUUGCAGAGUAUUAAUUCAAACAAUAUAAUCAAAAUAUUUAUGCAAAUCUUCUUGGAUGAUGUGCCAAUGAUUAAAAUAAUCAGAAGUUUUGACUCAAUGGUUCUUUCAGUGAAAAUCUUGAAUAAUAAUCUUUUUUGCACAACUCUUCCAUUUUUUGACUCACAUCAAAUGGUAUUUACUAGAUAGGAGUACCAAUAAAACAACAUGCAAUAUAACAUAAGAAAUUUGUUAAAGGUUAAAACCCUUGUGAAAGAAAAGCUUCUCUCAGAAAGCUACUUCAGACCCGUUGACUUUUCUUCUCCCCCGCAUUUUUCCCCAAUCUACAUUUGCAUAAUCUUUCCAUCAAAUAAACCUUUUAACUAUUAUGCAG